AUUGUUAGAUCCAAGUGUAACAUUUUUUUUGAUUAUUCGUUCUUGCCUAAUUUGUUUUUCCUUUGCGUACGCAAAUUAGUUUAUACUUCCUUUCGUUCAUUUGUUUAGUCUUCUUUUUUGGCGUUAAUUUAGGUGUUUAUCUCUUUCUGUUAGUUUUCGUGCCCUCGUUAGCGUUUCCGUGCUGUUUCAUCUUCAUUAGCGCCUUUCUAUAGUUUUAUUUUCCGCAUUUUCUAGCGUAUUUGAAUAUCGUAGUUUGUCAGUACAGUUUGUGAGUUCAGUUUGGUCCGCGCUUAGCGCAGUUCUGUUUAGUUUGUUUCUAGCCUCUUCGCGUUAUUCGCAGUCCUCUUUACAGAAGUUUUCUCUGGCCAAAACAAUUUUCAACCCACACUCUUAGUAUCAAGCACGUUCGGCUCCAAUAAAUCUUUUUCUUUUUA